rnacentral:rRNA from 1 species
UGGGGAAUUUUGGACAAUGGGGGAAACCCUGAUCCAGCCAUCCCGCGUGUGCGAUGAAGGCCUUCGGGUUGUAAAGCACUUUUGGCAGGAAAGAAACGUCAUGGGUUAAUACCCCGUGAAACUGACGGUACCUGCAGAAUAAGCACCGGCUAACUACGUGCAAGCAGCCGCGGUAAUACGUAGGGUGCAAGCGUUAAUCGGAAUUACUGGGCGUAAAGCGUGCGCAGGCGGUUCGGAAAGAAAGAUGUGAAAUCCCAGAGCUCAACUUUGGAACUGCAUUUUUAACUACCGGGCUAGAGUGUGUCAGAGGGAGGUGGAAUUCCGCGUGUAGCAGUGAAAUGCGUAGAUAUGCGGAGGAACACCGAUGGCGAAGGCAGCCUCCUGGGAUAACACUGACGCUCAUGCACGAAAGCGUGGGGAGCAAACAGG